UGUCUCCGUGGGCUUAAGCCUUCGCCGCUAACGUCAGUUUAAAACCAACACCGUAUUUUUGACACCGAAAACACAUUCUAUAUUGGCACUUUUUAAAAUUGAAUUUCCUAAUAAUGCCUAUAUCAAUGAUUAGACACGAAAUUAUAUUUUUGUUAUCAACUGUAGCUAGUACUGUGUACACACCGAGUCGUUGUCAAUAUUUUUAGACGACAGAGCAGUCAUAGCAUUUAAUUUUUAAUAAAUUUCACCUCGAAAAAAAAUGCAAAACACUUCGAGAGAAUGAAAACACUAUCGUAAUGCGUACGUAUAGUACGGUAUAGGGAAUCAAACCGAUUGUUGUAUUUACCGGCGUUAAAUAAAAGGUCCACUUGUUGCUAAACUUAAUAUGCAAAUAAAUCCGCAUUACAAUAAAACGGGUAGGGG